GAUGAAGAACGUAGCGAAAUGCGAUAAGUAAUGUGAAUUGCAGAAUUCAGUGAAUCAUCGAAUCUUUGAACGCACCUUGCGCUCCUUGGUAUUCCAAAGAGCAUGCCUGUUUGAGUAUCAUUAAAUUAUCAACUGUACCAAUUUGGUUGCAGAUUGGAUGUGGGAGAUUUUGCAGGCUUUUGAUUUCUCUUUGAGAAAACGGUCAGCUCUCCUGAAAUAUAUUAGCAGUGCCUUUGUUGGUUCAUUAGGUGUGAUAAUUUAUCUACAUCUUCACAUGGUACCUUCAUUUGUGUAAAGGUCAUAUUGCUUCUAAUUGUCUUUGGACAUAAAAAAAAAAAACAUAUAAUUGUAUGGAAAACUUGAUCUCAAAUCAGGCAGGACUACCCGCUGAACUUAAGCAUAUCAAUAAGCGAGGA
rnacentral:misc_RNA from 1 species